UACGUAGGGUGCGAGCGUUAAUCGGAAUUACUGGGCGUAAAGCGUGCGCAGGCGGUUCGCCAAGUCAGGUGUGAAAUCCCCGGGCCUAACCUGGGAAUUGCGCUUGAAACUAGCGGGCUUGAGUGUGGCAGAGGGGGGUGGAAUUCCACGUGUAGCAGUGAAAUGCGUAGAGAUGUGGAGGAACACCGAUGGCGAAGGCAGCCCCCUGGGUCAACACUGACGCUCAUGCACGAAAGCGUGGGGAGCAAACAGG
rnacentral:rRNA from 1 species